rnacentral:lncRNA from 10 species
GAUUGCUCCCUUUGGGAGACACCAGCCACCAUUCCAUGAGGGCACUCUUGGAGAGGUUCAAAUGGAAAGAAUCUGAGGUUUCCACUAAAAGCCAAUACUAUCUUGCCAGCCAUGUGAGUGAGUCACCUUGCAAAUGGAUCCUCCAGCCCAUCAGGUCUACAAAUAACUGAAGCCUCAAGCUGACAACCUGACUGUAAUCUCAUAAAGUCAUAAUUGACCAACUAGUUAGUUGCUCCUAAAUAUCUGACUCUCAGAUGCUGAAAUGAUAACGUUUAUUGCUAAUAUCACCCCACUAAAUUUUGGGACAAUUUUUAUGCAACAAUAGGUACAAAAAUACAAGUGGUAUUAUCUUACAAAUGCAAAAUAGGCUUAACAUUUACAACUCGGCCAGGCAAGGUGGUUCACACCUGUAAUCCCAGCACUUUGGGAGGCCGAGGCGGGUGGAUCACGAGGUCAGGAGAUCAAGACCAUCCUGGCUAACAUGGUGAAACCCUGUCUCUACUAAAAAUGCAAAAAAUUAGCAGGGCGUGGUGGCAGGCGCCUGUAGUCCCAGCUACUCGGGAGGCUGAGGCAGGAGAAUGGAAUGAACCCGGCAGGCAGAGCUUGCAGUGAGCCGAGAUCACGCCACUGCACUCUAUCCUGGGCGACAGAGCGAGACUCCGUCUUGGCCGGGCACGGUGGCUCACGCCUGUAAUCCCAGCACUUUGGGAGGCCGAGGCGGGUGGAUCACCUGAGGUCCGGAGUUCAAGACCAGCCUGACCAACAUGGAGAAACCCCAUCUCUACUAAAAAUACAAAAUUAGCUGGGCGUGGUGGCGCAUGCCUGUAAUCCCAGCUACUCCGGAGGCUGAGGCAGGAGAAUCGCUUGAACCCGGGAGGCAGAGGUUGCUGUGAGCCGAGAUCGCACCACUGCACUCCAGCCUGGGCAGCAAAAGUGAAACUCUGUCUCAAAAAAAAAAAAGAAAAAGAAAAAGUAAACACAGACUAGACAGUAAAUUAUUUUAUAUUAUUAUUGUUAAUUGUUGCAGAUGACAAUGGUAUAAUGGUUGGGUUUCUUCAAAAGUUUAUCUGGACCAGGCACAGUGGCUCAUGCCUAUAAUACCAGCAUUUUAAGAGGCUGAAGCAGGUAGAUCACUUGAGGUCAGGAGUUCGAGACCAGCUUGGCCAACAUGGCGAAGCUCUGUCUCUACUAAAAAUACAAAAAUCAGCCAGGUGUGGUGGCACACACUUGUAAUCCCAGCUACUUUGGAGGCUAAGGAGGAGGACUGCUUGAACUCAGGAGGCGGAGGCUGCAGUGAGUCCAGAUCGUGCCACUGCACUCCAGCCUGGGUGACAGAGCAAGACUCCCCCUCAAAAAAAAAAAAAAAAAAAAAAAAAAAAAAAAAAAGUUUAUGUGGGAUGCAAGGCGUGGUGGCUCAAGCUGUAAUUCCAGCACUUUGGGAGGCCAAGGCAGGAGGACUGCUUAAGCCCAGGAGUUUGAGACCAGCCUGGGUAACAUCAUGAGGCCCCAUCUCUACAAUGGGAAUGACAGUGCACAUCUGUGGUCCUUGCUACCUGGGAGACUGAGGCAGGAUUGCUUGCUCCCAGAAAUUCCAGGCUGUAGUAAGCUAUGAUCGAAACACUGCACUCCAGCCUGGGCAACUGAGUGAGGUUCUAUCUCAAAAAAAAAAAAAAAAAAAAGGUUAAAUAAAAGAAUUUAGGAAAAAAUUAAUGAAAGCAGAAAGCAUAACCAAAAACAAAUGGCAAAAUGUGGAUAAUUAUUGAAACUGUGUAAUAAGUAGGUACACAGGGAAUCAUUAUUACACAUCUCUGUGUAUAUUUUAAAGUCUUUGAAAAUAUAUUUGAGGCCAGGCAUGGUGGCUCAUGCCUGUAAAUACAGUACUUUGGGAGGCCAAGGCAGCUGAAUCACUUGAGGCCAGGAGUUCGAGACCAGCCUAGUCAACAUGGCGAAACCCCGUCACUACUAAAACUACAAAAAAUUAGCCAGGCGUGGUAGCACACACCUGUAGUCCCAGGUACUCUGGUGGCUGAGGCAGAAUCGCUUGAACACAGGAGGUGGAGGUUGCAGUGAGUCAAGAUCACACCACUGUACUCCAGCCUGGACCACAGAAUGAGACUCUAUCUCAAAAAAAAAAAAAAAAUUAAUUAAAUUUAAAUUUAAAUAAAAAC